rnacentral:rRNA from 1 species
CAAAGGUGAGCCAGUACAGGAUGGACCCGCGUCUGAUUAGCUAGUUGGUAAGGUAACGGCUUACCAAGGCGACGAUCAGUAGCCGACCUGAGAGGGUGAUCGGCCGCAUUGGAACUGAGACACGGUCCAAACUCCUACGGGAGGCAGCAGUGGGGAAUAUUGCACAAUGGGCGAAAGCCUGAUGCAGCAACGCCGCGUGAGUGAUGAAGGCCUUCGGGUCGUAAAACUCUGUCCUCAAGGAAGAUAAUGACGGUACUUGAGGAGGAAGCCCCGGCUAACUACGUGCCAGCAGCCGCGGUAAUACGUAGGGGGCUAGCGUUAUCCGGAUUUACUGGGCGUAAAGGGUGCGUAGGCGGUCUUUCAAGUCAGGAGUGAAAGGCUACGGCUCAACCGUAGUAAGCUCUUGAAACUGGGAGACUUGAGUGCAGGAGAGGAGAGUGGAAUUCCUAGUGUAGCGGUGAAAUGCGUAGAUAUUAGGAGGAACACCAGUUGCGAAGGCGGCUCUCUGGACUGUAACUGACGCUGAGGCACGAAAGCGUGGGGAGCAAACAGGAUUAGAUACCCUGGUAGUCCACGCUGUAAACGAUGAGUACUAGGUGUCGGGGGUUACCCCCUUCG